CUAAAUUAAAUUACCCUGUUUCCUGCUAUGCUUGUGUGAAGAUAGGAUUUACUGGACAUAGAAUCUGUUAGGCUUCUGUUCAUUGUUGUAUGGAGUCUGUUUGGCUUGUAUUGGGCUCAUUUCAAUUGAGGAUAAUAGAAUAAAGAGUUAAGAAAAGAAUUCCUAAAAUAUUAUCUUCAGGUUUCAUCUCAUAUAUCCCCUCCCUGUGAUUUUCAUUUCUCAAUUUCAUAGGUUUAAAAACGUGAUUUUUGAAAUCAGUCCAACAGAAGAAGUAGGAGAUUUUGAAGUUAAAGCAAAAUUCAUGGGUGUACAGAUGGAAACAUUUAUGUUACAUUAUCAGGAUCUCUUGCAGCUGCAGUAUGAAGGUGUUGCUGUCACGAAGUUGUUCAACAGAGCAAAAGUGAAUGUCAAUCUUCUGAUCUUCCUUCUGAAUAAGAAAUUUUAUGGGAAGUAACUGACCUCUGCCAGCAAGUCUGUGAAAGGGGAGAUGGAUAGAAACCUGCACAUACAACUUCUAAUAAUGUAGUGAUGUAUCAGUAUAUUCCCACCCUGUAUUAAUUGUAUCAAAUGUAUAGUGAAGGAGGACCAAGAAUCUCUUGGGAAUUGACAACCCUGAUUGAGUCUACAGGGAGUUGGUUUCUUGUUUAUUUAUAAUCUUCAACUUUGAAGAUCCCCUUUAAAGAGGUUAUUUUAGAAUGUAUUUUUACAUGGGUUUGGGAAUUCAACUAAUGUUAGAGUAUACUUAGGCCAUCUGAAUGCUAAUUUUCCUAACUGUGUGCUUUAUGAGGCUUGCGUUCUUGUUGCCUAUGCAAAGAGAAAGCUGGCACUAUAUAGAGGUCUGUUAGCCUCUUCCUGAGAGCCAAAAAAGGGUUGCAGGUGGUAUUUGGACUCCAGUUAUUCUCAAGCAAAGAUGACCAAUAGAAAAUAUGGUCAAGGUCCAGGUUACCUGUUUGUUUGCAAGCUUGCAUUGGUAGAGGUGGCAGUGGCCAGUUGCCAAGAUUAGAAUGACUGCGGUCAGGGUAAUCAGUAAGCAUCAUAAAAAGUUACUGAGCUAUUUGUGAUUAUGUACUACAGCCACAUAUAGCAGCUUAAGUGUCUUCUUUUUCUUAAUUUGCUUCUGUUUAUCAUACUGUAGUAAUUUUCAGGUGCCCCCUUCAAUGGAGGGACCAUGGAAUGUAUUUACUGGGGCUUAUAGAUAAAAAGAUUUUUGUGGAAGGGGAGGGUAGCUGAAACAAUUUCUUGUGACACUUUAACUUUUAAUUGCUUGCAAAACAUUUGAAAUGUAAAAUUCACUUUUUUUCUUCCCAGUGUAGAGCAAUGUUCUAUGUAUCUGUGUCUGAUGCAAUAAAUGUUAGUUUUCUUCCUUGGACAAGUCUGUAGGUAGAGCCUAUCUCAAAGAGAUUAGCUUUUAAAAAGUUAAUUUUUUCUAGCUACACUGAAGUUCCUUUAUCUUUUAUCAUUUCAUGGGGGUUUAGUCUGCGCUUUUUCACAGUGGCAGUGGUGCUGGCUGUUCUGCUAUAUCCAAUAAAAAUGCAGAGACUCUUACUCAAAAUAUAAUUGACCUUUAAAUUCAUUUGCUUCAGCUGUUCCCCCAGGUUUUUCCUUCACUUUUUUUUUAACAGACAUAUCUCCUUCAAAUUUCAAGUUGGCCUGCUUGUUCAGGUUACUGUACAGAGUUUAAAUGAACUUUUUGAUCUACUCCGAGGCAAGUUCUUUCAGCUUAUGUCUUUUUUCCUCAUGAAAGACACUCCUAGUAUUUGGAAUGUGUCUGUCACUGAGUAUAACUUUUCUGUAGUUCUCUUGGAAGGAAAUACAUAAACUUGCUGCUGUUUAGACUGUAUUUAAACAUA